UUCUGCACGGUAAAAGAGGGGCCCCGGCACUGGAUACCCCGUGCCGUGGUUCAGUAUCUCGUGCACGCUCACGCUGAUAAGACCUUAUUCUAAUCACCCGUCACUUGGCGUCGAUAGUCGUGCGCGGACCUUUCGCGCGAUCUCACGCUCCGUCUGUCGCAAUUCCUUCUUCCCUCCACCGUUCGCGGGCCGUAUCGCACGCAUCCCGCUUUUGUCCCUUUCUCUCAUUCUCCUCCUUCUUUCUCCCUUUCUCUGCAGCGUGCACCGACGCGACGCGACGCGACCGCGAGCCGACGCGCGGCUGGUGGCACUUUCAUGUCGCCGAUCCGGAGAAUUUCUUCGAUCCGGAUCUCCCGACUCCCGAUCGAGCACGCCACCUCGUUUCCGCCUCGUUUCUUACCAGCCGGUACACGCAAUUAUCUCGGCCGAUCGCAGCCGCAGAUCGGUCCAUGAUCGCUAGCGUAUCGAUCGAUACGCGCUGACGGGCCGCGCGGACAAACCUUAUCCGUCUUUGGGUCCCUAUCGGUCGCCGGAUCGGUCGCCACUCAGCAGCCAAUUAAUUCUCGUUGUUCUGAAAUCGACGACGAUCGCCGCGAUCGGCUCGCGAUCACCGGAUUCUUUCAGCGGUCCGUAAACGAUUGCUCCGCUCGCUGUGGAUCAUUGGCGACGUUGAUCGCGCGCGAGAUCGACCACGUGUUUGCGUGACACGAGGAUCUCUUAUCGAUGGGGCAACAGGCCUGGGUUAAUUGCGUCCUCGAGAUGCUACGGAUGGUAACGUCGAGAAACGUCACGAAGGAGCUCGCCGUUGUCUCGAAGGACGAACGUUGACACAAAGGGGUCCCAGGCGACCGUUCGACGCACGGUUCUUUUUUCGGCCCCCUCGCGAGCUCUGCCAUCCGGCAGAGUUCACGUGCUCCACGGACGGGAAACCAGCUCCUCGGUCCGCGCCGGAGCAUACAGGUGUUACGUAAAGAAUCGGCCGAGCGACGGUUUUUCGCCGUGUCGCGGGAACCACGUGUCGAACGCGGCUGACGUCGAGGACGAGGCUCGGCACUUUCUUCGUGUACCACGGAGAGACCUGGUCCCUUUCCAUGGUUCUCCAUUCGUGAAGGGAAGUGCCCUAUCGGUGAAAGCGUGCAUCAUCGACGCCGAGUGCCUGUGAAACCGUGAAACUACGGAACCACGCGCGUGACAUCUAUUACCCGCGACAGGUGUAUCGUAAACAUUUGCUUGCUCGUUUUUCUAUCGCGAGGAAACCGACACGAUUUCUCGACCCGCGGAGUGCGGCUUUCAUAGGAAACCUUGUGGUACCGGCCACAGCAAAUCCCGUUAAGCUUCCCGUCGAGUGGUGCUUGUUGGAUUACUGGGAGCUUCCACACAUGAAAUUGACACUACGAAGGAAUGUUAACACGGUGUAAGAAGAAGAAAGUGAGGAAAAAGAAGGCAUUCAGGAAAAUUUAUUUGAACGCGGAACUCGGGAACCAGUACCGCCUGAGUACGCUCGGCUGACCUCGAUAGAGCUUUCGCUCGUGUUUAAGGAAGAAUGAAAAGGAAACGAAGGAGCCGAAGAAAACGAGAACUCAAGCGCGACGCGGCCGAUCGCGGCCUCCUGGAUUUGCGUUGCUGGUUGGCGUGAACAGACGCCACGAGCCUGUCCCGUUAGCGAAACAGAGCCGGCAAGGGUAGCUGGAAGAAAAGGAACCGAAGCUGCCUGGAAAGACGAAGACGAAGACUGUGAAGUUGAAAAAGAAAUAAGAGAAACGUAGAAAAACGUACGAAAAAGGAAGAAGA